rnacentral:rRNA from 1 species
UACGGGAGGCAGCAGUGGGGAAUAUUGCACAAUGGGCGCAAGCCUGAUGCAGCCAUGCCGCGUGUAUGAAGAAGGCCUUCGGGUUGUAAAGUACUUUCAGUCGUGAGGAAGGUGUUAAGGUUAAUAACCUUAGCAAUUGACGUUAGCGACAGAAGAAGCACCGGCUAACUCCGUGCCAGCAGCCGCGGUAAUACGGAGGGUGCGAGCGUUAAUCGGAAUUACUGGGCGUAAAGGGCACGCAGGCGGUUAAUUAAGUUGGAUGUGAAAUCCCCGGGCUUAACCUGGGAAUGGCAUUCAAGACUGGUUAGCUAGAGUCUUGUAGAGGGGGUAGAAUUCCAUGUGUAGCGGUGAAAUGCGUAGAGAUGUGGAGGAAUACCGGUGGCGAAGGCGGCCCCUGGACAAAGACUGACGCUCAUGUGCGAAAGCGUGGGGAGCGAAACAGGGAUUAGA